UACGAAGGGGGCUAGCGUUGCUCGGAAUUACUGGGCGUAAAGCGCACGUAGGCGGCUUUCUAAGUCGGGGGUGAAAUCCUGGAGCUCAACUCCAGAACUGCCUUCGAUACUGGAGAGCUUGAGUCCGGGAGAGGUGAGUGGAACUGCGAGUGUAGAGGUGAAAUUCGUAGAUAUUCGCAAGAACACCAGUGGCGAAGGCGGCUCACUGGCCCGGUACUGACGCUGAGGUGCGAAAGCGUGGGGAGCAAAACAGG
rnacentral:rRNA from 1 species